UACAGAGGGGGCAAGCGUUGUUCGGAAUUACUGGGCGUAAAGGGCGCGUAGGCGGCCUGCUAAGUCGAACGUGAAAUCCCUGGGCUCAACCCAGGAACUGCGUCCGAUACUGGUUGGCUUGAAUCCGGGAGAGGGACGUGGAAUUCCAGGUGUAGCGGUGGAAUGCGCAGAUAUCAGGAGGAACACCGGUGGCGAAGGCGGCUCUCUGGACCGAUACUGACGCUGAGGCGCGAAAGCGUGGGGAGCAAACAGG
rnacentral:rRNA from 1 species